AAGUUGGAUGAACUUAGGGAGGAAUGGUGUCAAUUCAUGAUUGAGUUGAAAGUUGUAUAGGAUAUUGAAGGGUAAAAAGGUUAGCUGGCAAGAAGAAAAAGUAGAUAUUUAGCAUCCUUUUGACUUGUGUAAAAAAUAACAAUGUUUUGGAUAAUGCAAUUGUUUUCAUUGAAUUGGAUGUAAUUUUGUUGUUGUUUAUUAAUAUAUUCUUAGCAUAUAAAAAAUUCAAAGUUUAUUCGUA